UGUUUUUUAUCAGAUUAGAGG
rnacentral:piRNA from 1 species